rnacentral:lncRNA from 1 species
AAAUCAAAUAAUAAAGCAUAGGUACUCCCACAAAAGUAACGUAAAUAGUUAUGAAAACAUAAGCAACAUAAAUACAGUCGCAUGCAGUAAUAUCAAACAGGAACUACCAUACUAAAACACUAAUCACCUAUGAGCCCGUAACCUACAAUCUUGAUUCUAGACCUCCAGACUCCCCUAUCAAGAGUCAUGUCCUCGGUAACCUGCAUUCUGGGCAAAAUGAAAAAUGAAAAUCAACAAAAUAUACUUUCAACAAAAGGAAAAAAAAAAUAGUUUAGGUAAAAUCCUUAAAAUAGAAAAUUUAUAAUCAUCUAACUUAUCAAAUUUAGAGAAAAAUACAAUAUAGUGCAUUAUAGUAGACUAUAUAGUAACGACAUUCUCUUCUCUUCUCUCUCUGCAAUUCAUUAUCAUUUUUUUACUAUGUGUAAACUUUUCGAUGGGCACAAAGCAUAUAAUUCAACUGAUAUAAGAGAAAUCUCGCGACGUAGAAAAGGAUAAUAUUAUUUACAACAACAACAACCUAGUAUAAUUUCACUUAAUGGGAUCUGGGGAGGAUAGUGUGUACGCAGACCUUACCCCUACCCUGGGGUAGAGAGGCUGUUUCCAANNNNNNNNNNNNNNNNNNNNNNNNNNNNNNNNNNNNNNNNNNNNNNNNNNNNNNNNNNNNNNNNNNNNNNNNNNNNNNNNNNNNNNNNNNNNNNNNNNNNNNNNNNNNNNNNNNNNNNNNNNNNNNNNNNNNNCUUUCCCUCCAAGAACUUCCCACAUUGCUCUUGGGGAGACUCGAACUCACAACCUCUCGAUUAAAAGUGUGGGUUGCUUACCAUCAGAGCAACCCCUCUUGUCGAUAAUAUUAUUUCAUAUCUCAAGGAAACCUAAAAUUAAUACUGUAUUAGCUAGGUUUAUCACCAUAACAUCGUAAGUCAAUGAAGAGGUAAAAGAUUCUUAAAUUAUAACAAAUAAUUAAUGUAUGUAGUAAAGUAGAACAACUAUGUACCACUCCUAUGUAAAAAUGGAACAAAAUUGGUUAGCUCUAUGCAAAUGCGUGGCUAUGCACAUAAAAAAUAAAUAGAAGAGCCAAGUCUUAUGCAUUCCUCUAACUGUUGUGAAAUUGAAUCAAUGUAAAAUCAGAUUUUUCCAAACCAAUUAGAGUUUUUAUGUAAGUUCCCUCUUCAAACACAAUUGUGACCAAAAACUCAUAAAUUUAUAAAAUUAAAACUUUUAAUAAUAUCAAAGUGUAAAAAAUACUACUAACACAAGAAACGUACAAGGAAAAGUAUAUCGGUAUACAGGAAGAACCAUGGAAAUGGUUAACUCAUCCAUUACUCAAGGUUGACAUUGAUUAAAGGCAGAAUGCAUAACUUGACCUUUGAACUUGGUUUUUUUUUUGUCACUUAAUAUUUAAAUAUAAAGUUAUUUCUAUUAGGUUCUUCAACUAAACUACCUCAGUGUCAAUUAGACACUAUGUAAACAAUCUGGGAAAAACUAUAUAAAAUUAAGCGUGUGCAUUACAGUUGCAUCUAACACCUUAAAAUAACCCCCAAAACAAAUUAAAACUCAUUUUCAGAAGAUGAAAAACCUGACCAUUGGCUUUGGAGACUUAGUGCCUUAAAAAAGCUCACUGAAAAUUUCCUUCGUUCAACUUACUGAAAUAUCACGCUAUUCUCUCUAUUCCUCGUCUAAGUUGGUGUAGCUUACAAGUGCCGUGUAAAGAGAACAAGCAUGCCAAAUGAAAAUAGUCAAAUUCAUUUACACUAAACUUUCCUUUAAAAAAAUUAAGAAGAAAAAUGAUGGGUUCACGGGAGGAAGAAGAGAAAUUAAAGGUAGGGUAAAAGUUAGCUUUAACUAGAAUAAUAUAUUAGAAUAUAAUAAUAAUAUAAUAAUAAUAUAAUAAUAAUCAACAACCUUUUUCUCAUGUUCACGCGCCCUUCUCCACGCACUCAAUCAUGUUACUAUAAAGUGUCUAAUUGGUACAAAUGUAGUUUAGUUGAAGAUGUGGUUUAGUUGAAGGGCUUGAUAGGAACAAUUCUAUGUUUAGGUGUCCAAGUGACAAAAAUGUCAAGUUUAAAGAUCCAGUUAAUAAUAUAAGUAAUAAUCAACAACUUUUUUCUCAUAUUCCCACGCACUCAAUCAUGUCACCACAAAAUGUCUAAUUGACACAUAUAUGAUUUAGUUGAAAGACUUGAUAGAAACAACUCUAUAUUUAGGUAUCCAAGUGACAAAAAGAUCAAAUUUAAAAGCCCGUUUAUGAAUUUUACCUCGAUUAAAACCUCAUUUUUGCCAAGCCCAUAGAAACCAUUACAUAAGAGGAUGACACUGAUUAAAACCACACAUGUUUUGCCAAAGCCAUAUGCUCAUCAAAAAUUACUUGAACACAAAAAAUACACACCAAAUGACCCUCUGCAUGUAUCAACAUUAAAAGUAAGAAACAAUAUCAAAACUUUCAACAACAACUUGGCCUAAGUCCUCAUUCUUGUAAACCAUCCCUACAGAUACCAAUGAAAGCGGAACAAAGAAAGUAAUAAUAUUCUAAUUUCACAUGACUUCCCAGUGUCUAAGAAUCCAGAUAUUUGAAUGUGGCAAAGAACAUUAUUUUUAAUAAUAAGUUGUUGCUCUAAUACUAAGAAGCAAUCUAUAUAGUUGAAGGGAUAUGCCUAUUUUCACAUUGAAUGAGAUUUUCAGGAGUCAUGUACUCAGAUAAGUUAGAGAAAUAGUGGUCAGUUUUGAGCAGUAAGUGGUGGAAAUCAAGCAUUGAAAUGGAAUUCACCUUUCUCAGGCUGCCAAAACACACACAUAUAUAUAUUAAAAGAAAAAUUCUACGCACAGUUGCAGAAGAAGAAUGAGUGCUAAACACCAUAUCAUAACAAAAUAAAGAUAAUACAAAGAGAUAAACCAGAGCAAUUUAUCUGUAAAUCGGCUGCAACCAAUGUGUCAAAUCCUCCUUAAAAUUUACAUCAAAUAGAAAAUCUCUAUGGUAAUCCAUCACUCAAUUUAUAGAAAAGGCGGGACGUAGGACCCAAUAAAUCGACUAAAUAGAUUUGUACAGCUUUACGGAAUUACCUAUAAGUAACCAGAGUUUGCUGUAUCCGUGGAGAAACGAUUGCUCUUGAAGACUUGAACGAUGAGCACGACUGUAGACGGAAAAUAUCUUCUGGCGUUGAUUUACGGUGAUUUAUCUGAAUGGACAGUCCAGAUUAAUUGGAGAAGCAGAGAUUACGAAGAUGCUUCACGUAUUAGAUGGAGAUAUAGGCACCAAGGAAUCAAUG